GAAAACCACGUGUUAAUUUAAUAGUUAAAGAGUUUAUAUAAUGUUAAUUUAUUACAAAAUUGACAAAUGGUUGUCGUUUACGCUGGAGAACAAGCGGUUAUCAUUUUCUGCAAAAGGUUCCAUAUAUCCAGAGCAAGGUCUUGCAAAGGCAGGGAAAUCUGUUGGCGCACCAUUGGCCGCAUGGGCAACUGAGAUCCCUCCCUUGCCGGCUUCCCCCACUCACACAAGGAAAUCAGGUGGUCCAUCCACCACCUGAUUUUAUUUUAUUUUCCGGGACAGAUGCCCCUGGUUUUUCAUCCUUUGUUGUGGGCACCGUUGUUUUUUCUGUUCCUUCAUCUUAUGGUUUGCUCCAAAUUUGGUGAUAUCUGCAUAGAAUUCCAAAAGGGUACGAGUUCACCACUUUCUUGUUCUCUUUCUAAGCAUCGAAAUAAAAUAAGAAACAAAUUGAUGACACGACGGGUGGUACUGUGGUACCGUUCCCUGAUUAUGAGCCCCUUUCCAAGCGGUUCAAAUUAGUGAUAUGUACACAUGAUCUGCGUCAAUGGAUUGACUAAAUUCAGAUUUCUCUUUUUCAAUCGUGUAAAACUUAUCCAUAGCCAACUUGACCAAAAAUAUGGAUGCAGCUAAUACCACUAAAACCAUUGGUUGUGCCACUGGUAUCACUGGAAACCAUGGGUGGGGUUUUGUUCUUUCCCAAACCAUUUGCCUCAGCCACUGGUACUCCUCUAUAUAUGUGGUCAAUGCUGGGUCUGUCUCAGGCACACUUGCAAACAAGAUAAUUCAAAGGCAUAAACAUAACUUUAUUAAGAAAGGGAAAGGGAAAGGGUAAGAUGAGUUAUUUGAGCAGGGUGUGCAUGGCAGCUAGUGUAGCUGUUGUGGAAGGCAACAUUGAUCGUGGUGUUAGGUGGAAGAACUCUGCCUUCCUACAUGUUCAUGUUAGCCAGCAGAGUAUGUUAUCUAGUGAGAAGUUGCCGGAUUGCCAGACGUCGCCCAGCGCUCUGGAGUUCGGGAGUGGUAAUGGGGAUGAUCAGAGAAGUAAAGAGGUGGACGAAAGCUUUCAGAAAGUGAUGUUCUUGAAUUGCUGGGGACAGGGCUAGCUUCUGGGAGACCAGAGGAGACUGAACAAAGUGGGAAGCUCACUGGAGGAGACAUGCCUGGGGAAUUGGCAGCCUAACAAGCUGUGGCUGAAUUCUCCUCAAAAGAAAGGCGCUUUAAGGAGAAAGCGGCAUUUCUGAACAGAAGGCUGAGGUUGUUGAAGGAGAAAUGGCCUAUUGUAUUAGAGAUGAAGAGUUCAAGCCCACAGGGUUGUUCUCUUUAUACAUUUCAUGUAAAGUAACAUGAUUUUCAUGAGUUGGAUUAGGAAAAAAUUGUAACAAUCAUGUUUUUAAGUACAUAGUCAAUCAUAUGCUCUGUUUUUCAGCCUGAUUAUCCCCCCAUAAUCAUUUUCUUUACCAGAAGUAUGAACCAUUAAGACGUCUUCCUCCAUUUCAUGUGGAAGUCAAACAAAAAUUUUGGGUGAUCGAAGAUAUAUGAUCAUGUGAGAUAAGAUUCUAGCUGUGUUAAUGAAAUAUUUGAAAUCAUGUCGCUUAACUCUUGCACUAUGCAUGUGACACACUGAACAUUAUGAUAAACAUAUUGCGUCGGUUCUUCAGAAUCAUGGUCCAUGAAUCUAUGGCAAUGAACUUACAACAAUUCACGAAAUUGGGAAAGAAUUGAAUCUCUCCUACACAGCUCCAAUCAGGCAUUGAGUUUUUUAUUAAUCUUUUCUGGCUCCGGCUGUUCUCUCUAGUUUAAUUCGCCAUAUAUAUAAUAAUCAAAAACGCGAAAUUUGGCUUGGGGAAUGGCAGUGGAAUUCAUUGUUAACAAGGUCGGCAUCUGUUUAGAAGUCUGACAACAAUGUUUUCUGGAUUGUUCACUGGUCUCCAAUGGGCCUUUUGCUAUAAAUAGGAGAGGUUUGGAGGAGGUUGAUUGUAGAAGAGAGAAAGAUAAUUUCCCCUUCCCUAGUAGAAAAAAGAAGAGAAAGAAGAUGGCUAAGGCUAACAACAUGACAACCAUGUUCCUUAACUUGGUUUUAAUGCUCUCUUUUCUUCUCAUCGUCUCUAUGGCUGAAGGCCGAUUUCUCCCUGUAUUUGGAAAGGCGAAAUCCACUCCACAGUGUGAUUCAGUAGUUGGUGUAAGAAGUGGAGACACUUGCUUUGCAAUAUCACAGAUGUCCAACAUGACUGCCAAAGCCUUCAGUGCAAUCAACCCUAAUCUCAACUGUGAUGCACUUUUUGUUGGUCAAUGGCUUUGUGUUGCAGGGACUGCAAACUAAGUGGAAAAGCUACCUGUCUUUAAUGUCAAUGAAAUAAGUUCAUGAAUCAUGUUCAGUUUUCUUUUUCAUGUCUGGCUAGAUAACCAUCUUGAUGUAUUGUUCCUGGAAUUUCAAUUUGAUAAUAAGAAGCUACUGUCUUUCUCUUA